UGGGGAAUAUUGCGCAAUGGGCGAAAGCCUGACGCAGCGACGCCGCGUGAGGGAUGAAGGUCUUCGGAUCGUAAACCUCUGUCAGAAGGGAAGAAACUAGGGUGCUCUAAUCAUCAUCCUACUGACGGUACCUUCAAAGGAAGCACCGGCUAACUCCGUGCCAGCAGCCGCGGUAAUACGGAGGGUGCAAGCGUUAAUCGGAAUCACUGGGCGUAAAGCGCACGUAGGCUGUUAUGUAAGUCAGGGGUGAAAUCCCACGGCUCAACCGUGGAACUGCCCUUGAUACUGCACGACUUGAAUCCGGGAGAGGGUGGCGGAAUUCCAGGUGUAGGAGUGAAAUCCGUAGAUAUUUGGAAGAAUACCAAUGGCGAAGGCAGGCUGCCAGCAGAUGAUUGACGCUGAGGUACGAAGGUGCGGGGAGC
rnacentral:rRNA from 1 species